rnacentral:rRNA from 1 species
UACGGGUGCGGAACACGUGUGCACUAGCUUUAUCUGGGGGAUAGCCUUUCGAAAGGAAGAUUAAUACCCCAUAAUAUGUUGGAUGGCAUCAUUCGACAUUGAAAACUCCGGUGGAUAGAGAUGGGCACGCGCAAGAUUAGAUAGUUGGUGAGGUAACGGUCACCAAGUCUACGAUCUUUAGGGGGCCUGAGAGGGUGAUCCCCCAACUGGUACUGAGACACGGACCAGACUCCUACGGGAGGCAGCAGUGAGGAAUAUUGGACAAUGGGUGAGAGCCUGAUCCAGCAUCCCGCGUGAAGGACGACUGCCCUAUGGGUCGUAAACUUCUUUUGGAUAGGGAUAAACUACCCUCGUGAGGGUAGCUGAAGGUACUAUACGAAUAAAGGCAACCCGGGUUAACUCCCGUGGCCAAGCAAGCCCGGCGGUAACUACGGAGGGUGCAACGCGUUUAUCCGGAUUCAUUGGGUUCUAAAAGGGGUCCCGNAAGGCGGAUCCCUCGGACACUACAGCUNGCUCGAAAAUCUUCACCAGGCUUAACUCGGUGCGCGAAAACAACCAUUGGGGCCGCCAAUAUAGCCAGGAANAAAACUCGGGCACAGC